AGAUUCAACCUGCUAUCAAAGAAAAAGGAAAAAGGAUUCCCUUAAGAAUCUGAAAUACACUGAAGGCAAGAGUAGGCCAUUUUAAAGAUACUGAAUAGGUAAGAUAAAAGUUACUUUAUGAUGUUUCCUAAGUUUCAGAAUUCCUUGAUCUCUAGUCCUCCUAAAGGAAGAAAGGAAGGCCAGUGGGGAAGAAGAAAAAUGUGGAAAGGAAAUGGAGAAAGGGGGAAGAAAGAAAUGUAUUCACCCCCUAUUGCACCUAGAGUAUCACAUACCAUCUGUCCAGCCAACAGCUUGAAAAAAAGAGUUGGGACUGUUUCAGAAGCUUCUAUUCCACACAGGAAUUUCCCAGUAACCACACACUACUUCUAUUGGAAGAAAUAUUAGAUUGAUAUAUCAGACUACUAUAACAAGAAAAACAAAUUUUAUGAGGCAAAGUUGGCUAGGAAAAGAGAACAUCAGACAGAUUUCAAAGAACAGCCUGGGCUAUAUCUUGCAAACCUGUAAUGAAUCUCUUCAGUAAUUUCUUCCAAACCAAAUUUUACAUUCAUAUGUUGAGAUGUUUCCUUGCAAGAGUGUGAAUUCCAGAUCCUGUAGUAUGUUACUUUUAAUUUGUAAAAUACAAAAUCACAAUUCAGCCUUAGUGGGGAAAUUUGUUCCAUGUCUUCUUUAAUUAAGUAGCCAUUAUCACAGCUUUUGGAUGUUCUGGAAGUGCAUCAUGCUGUGACAAUCAUCAGCUACUCUAAUCUCACAAUGAGGAAGUAAGGCCACAACUGCCUAAUCCUACUCUACUACACUGCAUUUGUUUGUAAGUUUAGGUCUUGUGUGCAUCUCCAAACACUUUCCUAUUUUUCCUUAACUCCUUAAACCCCAGAUAUGGAGUAGGGAAUAUAUUUGAAGCUAGGGAUAUAAAUGUUUUGCUUGCUUUAUGCAUAGCAUUCCUUCUCCCACACAAGACUACAAUUGCUUGCCUAAGAAUACUCAGUUCAGUAUUAAAUUCAGUAUAAGAUCUAAUAAAACACCAUAAAAUUUACUUUUGGAAUUGAUGAGAAUGGCCACAAUUUAUCAUCAACAAGAAAUUCAAUUUUAACUUUU
ensembl:lncRNA